rnacentral:rRNA from 1 species
GAUGAACGCUGGCGGCGUGCCUAAUACAUGCAAGUCGAACGGAGAUUGUAGCAAUACGGUCUUAGUGGCGAACGGGUGAGUAACGCGUUGGUGACCUGCCCCGAAGUGUGGGAUAACAGCCCGAAAGGGUUGCUAAUACCGCAUGUGGUUUUUCGGAUUAGAUGCCGAAUUUCCAAAGGAGAAAUUCGCUUCGGGAGGGGCCUGCGUCCUAUCAGCUAGUUGGUGAGGUAAUGGCGCACCAAGGCGACGACGGGUAGCCGGCCUGAGAGGGUGACCGGCCACACUGGAACUGAGACACGGUCCAGACUCCUACGGGAGGCAGCAGUGGGGAAUAUUGCACAAUGGGCGAAAGCCUGAUGCAGCAACGCCGCGUGAGGGAUGAAGGCCUUCGGGUUGUAAACCUCUUUUAGCAGGGAAGAAGCGAAAGUGACGGUACCUGCAGAAAAAGCACCGGCUAACUACGUGCCAGCCGCCGCGGUAAUAC